rnacentral:rRNA from 1 species
UACGUAGGGGGCAAGCGUUGUCCGGAAUCAUUGGGCGUAAAGAGCGUGUAGGCGGCCCGAUAAGUCCGCUGUGAAAGUCCAGGGCUCAACCCUGGAAUGCCGGUGGAAACUGUCGGGCUAGAGUUCGGAAGAGGUGAGUGGAAUUCCUGGUGUAGCAGUGAAAUGCGUAGAUAUCGGGAGGAACACCUGUGGCGAAAGCGGCUCACUGGACCAUUACUGACGCUGAUGCUCGAAAGCUAGGGGAGCAAACAGG